GCCAGACUCCUACGGGAGGCAGCAGUGGGGAAUAUUGCACAAUGGGGGGAACCCUGAUGCAGCGACGCCGCGUGGGUGAAGGAGCGUUUCGGCGCGUAAAGCCCUAUCGGCAGGGAAGAAGGAGGACGGUACCUGACUAAGAAGCCCCGGCUAACUACGUGCCAGCAGCCGCGGUAAUACGUAGGGGGCAAGCGUUAUCCGGAUUUACUGGGUGUAAAGGGGGCGCAGACGGCAGCGCAAGCCAGGAGUGAAAGCCCGGGGCCCAACCCCGGGACUGCUCUUGGAACUGCGCGGCUGGAGUGCAGGAGGGGCAGGCGGAAUUCCUGGUGUAGCGGUGAAAUGCGUAGAUAUCAGGAGGAACACCGGUGGCGAAGGCGGCCUGCUGGACUGCGACUGACGUUGAGGCCCGAAAGCGUGGGGAGCAAACAGGAUUAGAUACCCCUGUACG
rnacentral:rRNA from 1 species